UUAGAGUUUGAUCAUGGCUCAGGAUGAACGCUGGCGGCGUGCCUAAUACAUGCAAGCCGAGCGAAUGACUAGAAGCUUGCUUCUAUGACGUUAGCGGCGGACGGGUGAGUAACACGUGGGCAACCUGCCUGUAAGACUGGGAUAACUUCGGGAAACCGGAGCUAAUACCGGAUAACCCCUUUCCUCACAUGAGGAAAGGCUGAAAGAUGGUUUCGGCUAUCACUUACAGAUGGGCCCGCGGCGCAUUAGCUAGUUGGUGAGGUAACGGCUCACCAAGGCCACGAUGCGUAGCCGACCUGAGAGGGUGAUCGGCCACACUGGGACUGAGACACGGCCCAGACUCCUACGGGAGGCAGCAGUAGGGAAUCUUCCGCAAUGGACGAAAGUCUGACGGAGCAACGCCGCGUGAGUGAUGAAGGUUUUCGGAUCGUAAAACUCUGUUGUUAGGGAAGAACAAGUAUCGGAGUAACUGCCGGUACCUUGACGGUACCUAACCAGAAAGCCACGGCUAACUACGUGCCAGCAGCCGCGGUAAUACGUAGGUGGCAAGCGUUGUCCGGAAUUAUUGGGCGUAAAGCGCGCGCAGGUGGUUCCUUAAGUCUGAUGUGAAAGCCCACGGCACAACCGUGGAGGGUCAUUGGAAACUGGGGAACUUGAGUGCAGAAGAGGAAAGUGGAAUUCCAAGUGUAGCGGUGAAAUGCGUAGAGAUUUGGAGGAACACCAGUGGCGAAGGCGACUUUCUGGUCUGUAACUGACACUGAGGCGCGAAAGCGUGGGGAGCGAACAGGAUUAGAUACCCUGGUAGUCCACGCCGUAAACGAUGAGUGCUAAGUGUUAGAGGGUUUCCGCCCUUUAGUGCUGCAGCAAACGCAUUAAGCACUCCGCCUGGGGAGUACGACCGCAAGGUUGAAACUCAAAGGAAUUGACGGGGGCCCGCACAAGCGGUGGAGCAUGUGGUUUAAUUCGAAGCAACGCGAAGAACCUUACCAGGUCUUGACAUCCUCUGACAAUCCUAGAGAUAGGACUUUCCCCUUCGGGGGACAGAGUGACAGGUGGUGCAUGGUUGUCGUCAGCUCGUGUCGUGAGAUGUUGGGUUAAGUCCCGCAACGAGCGCAACCCUUGAUCUUAGUUGCCAGCAUUCAGUUGGGCACUCUAAGGUGACUGCCGGUGACAAACCGGAGGAAGGUGGGGAUGACGUCAAAUCAUCAUGCCCCUUAUGACCUGGGCUACACACGUGCUACAAUGGAUGGUACAAAGGGCUGCAAGACCGCGAGGUUUAGCCAAUCCCAUAAAACCAUUCUCAGUUCGGAUUGCAGGCUGCAACUCGCCUGCAUGAAGCCGGAAUCGCUAGUAAUCGCGGAUCAGCAUGCCGCGGUGAAUACGUUCCCGGGCCUUGUACACACCGCCCGUCACACCACGAGGGUUUGUAACACCCGAAGUCGGUGGGGUAACCUUUUGGAGCCAGCCGC
rnacentral:rRNA from 2 species